rnacentral:rRNA from 1 species
CCUACGGGGGGCAGCAGUGGGGAAUAUUGCACAAUGGGGGAAACCCUGAUGCAGCGACGCCGCGUGAGUGAAGAAGUAUUUCGGUAUGUAAAGCUCUAUCAGCAGGGAAGAGAAUGACGGUACCUGACUAAGAAGCCCCGGCUAACUACGUGCCAGCAGCCGCGGGAAUACGUAGGGGGCAAGCGUUAUCCGGAUUUACUGGGUGUAAAGGGGGCGUAGGGGGCAGGGCAAGUCAGAUGUGAAAGCCCGGGGCUCAACCCCGGUACUGCAUUUGAAACUGUCCAGCUGGAGUGCAGGAGAGGUAAGCGGAAUUCCUAUUGUAGCGGUGAAAUGCGUAGAUAUUAGGAGGACCACCAGUGGCGAAGGCGGCUUACUGGACUGUAACUGACACUGAGGCACGAAAGCGUGGGGAGCAAACAGGAUUAGAUACCCGGGUAGUC